rnacentral:tRNA from 1 species
UGAAGUGUAGUUCAGUGGUAGAGCACUUGCCUAGCAUGUGUGAGGACCUGAGUCCAAACCCCAGCAUUGCAA